UUUAAAUACAACCAUAACUUUCCGCGCUCAACUUUAAUCGUCCAUCUUAUUUAAUUUUUUUUUAUAAUUGCUAUUUUUGUUAUUAUGAGAUGGUAAAACAUGAAUAGUACUUUACUCGUGACUUAUAUUUUUAAAUUUUAAAAAAAAUUAAAUAAGACGAACGGUUAAAGUUAGGCGCGGAAAAUCAUGGCUGCACUUAAA
rfam:Oryza rufipogon genomic scaffold, chr01